rnacentral:rRNA from 1 species
UACAGAGGUCCCGAGCGUUGUUCGGAUUCACUGGGCGUAAAGGGUGCGUAGGUGGUCGGGUAAGUCCGAGGUGAAAUCUCCAAGCUUAACUUGGAAACUGCCUUGGAUACUGUUCGGCUGGAGGGUUGGAGGGGGGACUGGAAUGCUUGGUGUAGCAGUGAAAUGCGUAGAUAUCAAGCGGAACACCAGUGGCGAAGGCGAGUCCCUGGACAACUCCUGACACUGAGGCACGAAAGCUAGGGGAGCAAACAGG